CACCGGCCAUGUGUUGAUGAGAGGCGGGGCUACGGAGUGGGCGUGGCAGCCGUAGGCGUGCGAGUCUCUGGGCCGGUCUGGCCGGGGCAUGACCUGGGUCAGAUUUUCUUAGGAAAUUUUCCAAAAAUUUGCCAAAAGCUCAGGUCUAUGGCUGUGACUGUCAUUCGAAAGGAAGAAGAGAAGGAAACACCAGGAGGACUCCCUUCUCUUUUGAAGAGAACUGCCCAGGCCUGAGACUGGAGCGUGCCUGUGACAGCUCAUGGAGUCCGCAGAUCCUAGGAGUGUGUCGCGAAAACCAGUAAUCGCUUAUUGAACACAUGAUUACAUGAACUAGGACCUUCACUGUAUUGUAUGAAGGAGGCUCUAUUGUAAGUCCUGUGAUUGUGGCAUUGAGUGUCGGUUAAGUCUUUUGCCCAAGAUCACACAGCUAUCUUAUCGCAAAAGCUUAGGCUGAGGAAAUAAAAAUGGUCUGUUUUGGA